CAGUAGCCGCGGGAAUACGUAGGGUCCGAGCGUUGUCCGGAAUUAUUGGGCGUAAAGGGCUCGUAGGCGGUUUGUCGCGUCGGGAGUGAAAACCAGCAGCUUAACUGCUGGCCUGCUUUCGAUACGGGCAGACUUGAGGCAUUCAGGGGAGAACGGAAUUCCUGGUGUAGCGGUGAAAUGCGCAGAUAUCAGGAGGAACACCGGUGGCGAAGGCGGUUCUCUGGGAAUGUUCUGACGCUGAGGAGCGAAAGUGUGGGGAGCGAACAGGAUUAGAUACCCCCGUCCCUGUCUCUUAUACACA
rnacentral:rRNA from 1 species